CAAAAUUCAGUGAACAGGAGAGUAGCUUAAGAUAUCCAUCAGCGAGCCAAAACAGAGUGAAAGUUUGGCGGCACUGUCGAAAGCGAAGCGCACCUGGGAGAAGUUCAGAUGAAAAAAGUAGUCUGAAACGUGAGUCUGCGUUAACGAACGAGGGGGUCGGAACAGUGGUUUCCGGCAACUAGGGUGGUACCGCGAUGUGAGUCGUUCCUAGA
rnacentral:ncRNA from 1 species